rnacentral:lncRNA from 1 species
GAGAAUUUAGCAGAGUUUUGAGAUAAGAAAUGAGCUUAGAGAAUAACGUAUCUGGGUCCCCCUUUUAUAGGCGGGGGAGGUAACGGAUUGAUGGCGACGUUUGUAACCGCCAGGUAGUGGGCCGCCCUUAGUCAGGAGGAAUCUACUGCGAAGAGUAGUGGAGCGGAGCCGUGGCCAUCACUGGGGCGUGCCACGUGGAAUCUGCCGUGGGAAGUGGGAUGCAGAUGCUGCGGCAUCUUGCCAGAGGAUGGAAGAAUCGUGCGAUAUCUGCUGCAGGAGGUGGAGCAGGAUCGCGGCCAUUUAUCAUGGCCUGUCAGGCAGUAAUGGAGCCGCGUGGGUGCGGGAUCCACCGCAGAGAGUGGAGCAGUGUUGCGACCGUUACUGCGGCCUGUCAGGGAGUGAUGGAGCUGCGCGGAGUUCGCCGCAGGAAGUGGAGCAGGAUCGUGGCCGUGAUUGUG